AUUGAACGCUGGCGGCAGGCUUAACACAUGCAAGUCGAGCGAGCGGCGGACGGGUGAGUAAUGUCUGGGAAACUUCCUGAUGGAGGGGGAUGACUACUGGAAACGGUAGCUAAUACCGCAUACCAUCAGAUGUGCCCAGGUGGGAUUCGCUAGUAGGUGGGGUAAUGGCUCACCAAGGCGACGAUCCCUAGCUGGGCUGAGAGGAUGACCAGCCACACUGGAACUGAGACAAGGUCCAGACUCCUACGGUAGGCAGCAGUGGGGAAUAUUGCACAAUGGGCGAAAGCCGGAUUCAGCCAGGCCGCGUGUGUGAAGAAGGCCUUCGGGUUGUAAAGCACUUUCAGCGAGGAGGCGUUACUCGCAGAAGAAGCACCGGCUAACUCCGUGCCAGCAGCCGCGGUAAUAC
rnacentral:rRNA from 1 species